rnacentral:rRNA from 1 species
AGUGAACGCUGGCGGUAGGCCUAACACAUGCAAGUCGAACGGCAGCACAGUAAGAGCUUGCUCUUACGGGUGGCGAGUGGCGGACGGGUGAGGAAUACAUCGGAAUCUACUUUUUCGUGGGGGAUAACGUAGGGAAACUUACGCUAAUACCGCAUACGACCUACGGGUGAAAGCAGGGGAUCUUCGGACCUUGCGCGAUUGAAUGAGCCGAUGUCGGAUUAGCUAGUUGGCGGGGUAAAGGCCCACCAAGGCGACGAUCCGUAGCUGGUCUGAGAGGAGGAUCGGCCACACGGGAACGGGGACACGGUCCAGACUCCUACGGGAGGAAGCAGAGGGGAUUAUUGGACAAUGGGGGCAGGCCGGAUGCAGCCAGACCGCUUGGGUGAGGAAGUCCUUCGGGUUGAAAAGCCUUUUUGUAGGGAAAGAAAAGCAGGAGGUUAAUACCCCGCUGAACUGACGGUACCCAAAGAAUAAGCACCGGCUAACUUCGUG